rnacentral:rRNA from 1 species
UGGCGGCAUGCCUUACACAUGCAAGUCGAACGGUAACAGGUUAAGCUGACGAGUGGCGAACGGGUGAGUAAUAUAUCGGAACGUGCCCAGUAGUGGGGGAUAGCCCGGCGAAAGCCGGAUUAAUACCGCAUACGACCUACGGGUGAAAGGGGGGGAUCGCAAGACCUCUCGCUAUUGGAGCGGCCGAUAUCAGAUUAGCUAGUUGGUGGGGUAAAAGCUAACCAAGGCGACGAUCUGUAGCUGGUCUGAGAGGACGACCAGCCACACUGGGACUGAGACACGGCCCAGACUCCUACGGGAGGCAGCAGUGGGGAAUUUUGGACAAUGGACGCAAGUCUGAUCCAGCCAUGCCGCGUGCGGGAAGAAGGCCUUCGGGUUGUAAACCGCUUUUGUCAGGGAAGAAAAGCUCCGAACUAAUAAUUUGGGGUGAUGACGGUACCUGAAGAAUAAGCACCGGCUAACUACGUGCCAGCAGCCGCGGUAAUACGUAGGGUGCAAGCGUUAAUCGGAAUUACUGGGCGUAAAGCGUGCGCAGGCGGUUCUAUAAGGCAGAUGUGAAAUCCCCGGGCUCAACCUGGGAACUGCAUUUGUGACUGUAGAGCUGGAGUGCGGCAGAGGGGGAUGGAAUUCCGCGUGUAGCAGUGAAAUGCGUAGAUAUGCGGAGGAACACCGAUGGCGAAGGCAAUCCCCUGGGCCUGCACUGACGCUCAUGCACGAAAGCGUGGGG